CUCCCGUACGCACAAACACACCAACAUCACUCUCUGUCUCUUUGUCUCUCCGAUUCUCUGUUUUGGUCUCAAAUGGUAUCACACUCUUUCCCUCUUCUUUCCUCUCUCACUCACCUCACCACUAACGUUUUCUUGUUCCGCUUCACAUAACACAAGAACAAUCCCUUACGGUGGCACCUUCUCUUUCCUUACUCUUUCAAUCGAAAUAUUUAUCCACGGCGGUUCCUCCGUCGGUCGCCGCCUCUCCGGCGUGCCCUACGUCGGCGACCUCCAUUCUGGCGCGUCUCCGACAGCCACCUAAUUGAUGCAUUCUGAGUUCAAGAGCCUUAAGUGUGUCCGCGUCUGCAAAGACUCCUCCACCGCCUAGCAUAGCAGCAAAAAUAACAGGUAUGCUUUGGAGAUGGAAAAUUGAGAACUGUUGGUUCUCCUCGAAUCGUCGAAGGCUCUUCCAGCUAAGGUGGAAGAAGUUGUGGAAGUGCUUAAGAACACUAAGACCAAAGUAUAUGGACAGAACAUACUUCGUUCAAAUUACCUUUCAGCUCAAGUUGCAGUUUGCUAAGAAGUAGUUGUCACACAUUAUUGGUGUCUCUCUACAAAUGUUGUGGUUUUGUUUUUCUAACUCUUUUAUUUAUUCUUCUCUACUUUUGGUUAAAUUAUGUCUUUGGUCCCCAUUUUCGUUCAAAAAUAUUGAUUUGGGUCUUCUAUUUUUGUAAGUCUCAAUUAGGUCCCUAAUAUCGAAAUUUUGUAUCAAUCAUGCCAUUGCUAUUAAAUUAGGUUAGUAAAGGAACAAUGAAUAGGCAUGAUUUUAUCUCAUUAAACAAUGACCAGACAAAUAAAUUACUAAUGUGCAUUAUUGUUUUUUGAUAAUUAACGUAUAUUAGAAAUUACCUUCUCCUUUGGCUCUCAACUUAUCAAACAUCUUCAUUACCUCAUAAAUCUUCCUAGCUUUGCACAAUUGAUUAAUAAUAAUCCCAAUGGUCACAACACUGGCUUUAUCCCCAUCUCUUCCAUUUCUGCCAUUAGUUUAUUCAUUCACUGAGUGUGCCUCUCCCUUCCCAACCCAACUAAGAGAGCAUUAUAAGACACAACUUUAACCGCAAUUGAACCACCCAAUCUGCAAAACCUGCCAUGCCACACCAUUCUUUUAGUGCUGACACAUCUUUGUUAUCAUUUGGGUUAGCUUAAACACAUCAAGGAAAACCCCAUGCUCAUACAUCAUGGUAACCAACCCUUCAGAUUCUUUAUCAACAAGGCUUCUUCGAUGGCGCUUCUUCUUCCCAGUACUCUAAAAACAACUUCAGCCGUGAAAUCAUCAUGAGGAAUCAGAAUCCUUUUCAAGCAUUCAGUCAAGCACGAGGAGUGCAUCAUCAAUGCAACCCUAUUUAAAAAUCCCCUUAGGUAAUUCAUUGCAAAGUCCAAAGCUUUUGGAAGAAGAGUGGAGCUCCUUGAACAAAAAUCAAAUCGUGCACCAUGGGAGAUCGAUACCACAAUAUCUACUCACUUGAACCUUGAACUGCAACGAAACCGCGAUUCCAUCUAACACGUUCGCAUAGAUGAUCAUAUUCGUCGAAUACCUAAAUAUUUUAUUAUUCAUUAAUCCCCAUUUUCCUUCAAAAAGAAAAUCUCAAUUUUGUAAAAGGCUAAUGUAUAUUCCACCUUCUUAGAAAAAUCCUAAUUUGCAGUAUAUGUUAAUUAUUAAAAAAGAAUAAUCCACAUCACUAAUUUGAUUUGCCUAAUCACUGUUUAAUUAGAAAAAGCCAUGUCUAU